UGAGCAAGAAUUCGUCGUAUUUGAACAAACGUCAAAUGAUAUUUUUUCCCAAUUCGAAACGACUGUUUUUACACUGUAAUUCGUUCGGGACAAAUAAAUACACAAGUUUGCAGAAAAAAAUGUAUAAAUAUGAUAAAAUUUAACUAUUUGUUCAUUAUUCUUAAGUUUUUUAAUCAAAAACUUCACGAGUAGUGCGUGAAAUAGUGAAAAUGAGAAAUAAAGAACAAUUUUUCCCUCCCGGACACAAAGCAUGUCAUUGUGAGGUUAUGUUUCAUUGUUUACAUUCAAGAAAUUGUUUUGUUGUAAAAAUAUCAGCUAAAAUAGCCGUUUUCAGAAUUAUUAGUGAUAUUUAUUAAAAUAUUUGUGGUGAAAAGUUAUCACAGGGCAAGAUUUAGUUAAAAACGACUGAAAUCAAGUGCCCUGUGAUGUGUGUAAAAGUGUUUUGAUGAUGAUUUCUGGGCAGAGUUUUUGAACAAAAAUCACCAGAAUACAUCAAUAAAGUACGUCCGCGAAACUAACAAAAAGAGUAUUAAGUGAAAAUAUACUAUUUGAAAGCUCCUGGACAUAUUGUUGGUUAAUUUUGAGUGCUCAUCUGAGUGCAAAUACAGUCCGGAGAGCUUCAAAUUUGAUACUGAAAUGAGCUUCCGGAAGGAGUUUUUAUAAAGAGCCAGAGACGGAGGAAAUUUCAGAUAGGCCACAGAAGAUGUUCCCAUUAAAUUAACAAGACAGGAAAGAAGUAACGAUGACUCUGGUUUAGUCGCGUUAGUACCACAGGAGUCGAAAUCAUCGUCGCCGUUGAAGACGUCCGGAAGGAGGAAAUUCAGCACAGAAGUGUCUGAAUUCGUGGAAAUUAUUCUGCAGGGAUGUUCCGGUGAGAAGGAGGCGACUGAUUGUCUUCAAUUUUUGGAGGAUUUUGGAAAAUUUGUACCCUCCACUCUUAAUUACGUAAGCGUCAUCAAACGUGGUGUAUUUCUUGUUGGACUUCUCACUCGAAGAGACUUCUCAUGGAUGUACAUCUCGUAGAACAGAACCUCCAAGAUAAAAGUUUGACGAAUGUCUUUUGGAUUUGAUUAGAUCAGCAUUAAUUCUGGCUAAGAUGGUAAACAGUAUCUUUGAGGUCAUACUAUAGUUUGCCUCCCCGGUUGGGCUGCUGCCUUAUCUAAUGGCCUGUACAGACAAAUGAAGGAUCGCAGUAUUUCCUGUGAGUUUUUGAUAUUGGGAUUGAAUAUAAUUCCUCUGCACUCACCCCGCAGUAGAAAAUGCAUCAUAUAUAAUAUAUUAGCAUCCCGAAUUCAAAUGUUACAACGAUUGGAACUUACACACGUCGAAUAGAACAACAUUCAAUCAAUAAAAAAAUAAAUAAGUUUUUUUUCUUGAUAAAUGUUAGUAACUGUGUCCUGUUAUGGAAAAAAUUUAUCUUUAAAAUUAUACAAAUUAAUAUAUACAACUUAAUUUCAUGGCAAAAGAACUAUUGUAAUCAAGUAGGAAACUAAAAAAUACAUUCAAUUCUCAGAUUAUUUUGAAUACAUUUUUAAUAAAGUUUUUAAUAUAUUUUUUAAUUUACUGAGACAUUUAAUCGUUGCUUUCAACUAAAAAUGGAUACUAA